rnacentral:rRNA from 1 species
GGGCGAANCUGACGGAGCCAGACCGCGUGGAGGGAAGAAGGUUUUUGGAUUGUAAACCUCUUUUCUCAGGGAAGAAAAAAAUGACGGUACCUGAGGAAUCAGCAUCGGCUAACUCCGUGCCAGCAGCCGCGGUAAUA